GAUAGAGCUUUACAUACCGAAAUACUUCUUCACUCACGCGGCGUCGCUGCAUCAGGGUUUCCCCCAUUGUGCAAUAUUCCCCA
rnacentral:rRNA from 1 species